rnacentral:rRNA from 1 species
ACUGGAGAUGGCGACCGGCGCACGGGUGAGUAACACGUAUCCAACCUGCCGAUAACUCGGGGAUAGCCUUUCGAAAGAAAGAUUAAUACCCGAUGGCAUAGUUCUUCCGCAUGGUAGAACUAUUAAAGAAUUUCGGUCAUCGAUGGGGAUGCGUUCCAUUAGGUUGUUGGCGGGGUAACGGCCCACCAAGCCUUCGAUGGAUAGGGGUUCUGAGAGGAAGGUCCCCCACAUUGGAACUGAGACACGGUCCAAACUCCUACGGGAGGCAGCAUG